UGAUGAACGCUGGCGGCGUGCUUAACACAUGCAAGUCGAACGAACCUUCGGGUUAGUGGCGGACGGGUGAGUAACGCGUGAGAAUCUGCCCUCAGGAGGGGGACAACAGCUGGAAACGGCUGCUAAUACCCCAUAUGCCGCGAGGUGAAAUGAAUUUCGCCUGAGGAUGAGCUCGCGUCUGAUUAGCUAGUUGGUGUAGGUAAUGGCUCACCAAGGCAUCGAUCAGUAGCUGGUCUGAGAGGAUGAUCAGCCACACUGGGACUGAGACACGGCCCAGACUCCUACGGGAGGCAGCAGUGGGGAAUUUUCCGCAAUGGGCGAAAGCCUGACGGAGCAACGCCGCGUGAGGGAUGAAGGCCUCUGGGCUGUAAACCUCUUUUAUCAAGGAAGAAGAUCUGACGGUACUUGAUGAAUAAGCCACGGCUAAUUCCGUG
rnacentral:rRNA from 1 species